rnacentral:misc_RNA from 1 species
CGCACAUUGCGCCCUCUGGUAUUCCGGGGGGCAUGCCUGUUCGAGCGUCAUUACACCAAUCCAGCCUGGCUGGGUGUUGGGUCCCGGGGGCCGCCCGGACCUCAAAAGCCUCGGCUGGAAGUCCCGCAUCUCAGCGUUGUGGAAACGAAUUCGCUGGCGAGAGGGGGCGCCUGGCCGUCAAAAUUCAUCUCAGGUUGACCUCGGAUCAGGUAGGGAUACCCGCUGAACUUAA